rnacentral:rRNA from 1 species
GAUGAACGCUGGCGGCGUGCCUAAUACAUGCAAGUCGAGCGAACAGACGAGGAGCUUGCUCCUCUGACGUUAGCGGCGGACGGGUGAGUAACACGUGGAUAACCUACCUAUAAGACUGGGAUAACUUCGGGAAACCGGAGCUAAUACCGGAUAAUAUAUUGAACCGCAUGGUUCAAUAGUGAAAGACGGUUUUGCUGUCACUUAUAGAUGGAUCCGCGCCGCAUUAGCUAGUUGGUAAGGUAACGGCUUACCAAGGCAACGAUGCGUAGCCGACCUGAGAGGGUGAUCGGCCACACUGGAACUGAGACACGGUCCAGACUCCUACGGGAGGCAGCAGUAGGGAAUCUUCCGCAAUGGGCGAAAGCUUGACGGAGCAACGCCGCGUGAGUGAUGAAGGUCUUCGGAUCGUAAAACUCUGUUAUUAGGGAAGAAAAAAUGUGUAAGUAACUAUGCACGUCUUGACGGUACCUAAUCAGAAAGCCACGGCUAACUACGUG